rnacentral:rRNA from 1 species
GUGGGGAAUCUUCCGCAAUGGACGAAAGUCUGACGGAGCAACGCCGCGUGAGUGAUGAAGGUCUUCGGAUUGUAAAGCUCUGUUAAUCGGGACGAAAGAGCCUAGUGUGAAUAAUGCUAGGAAGUGACGGUACCGGAAUAGAAAGCCACGGCUAACUACGUGCCAGCAGCCACGGUAAUACGUAGGUGGCAAGCGUUGUCCGGAAUUAUUGGGCGUAAAGCGCGCGCAGGCGGAUCUGCCAGUCUGUCUUAAAAGUUCGGGGCUUAACCCCGUGAUGGGAUGGAAACUACAGAUCUAGAGUAUCGGAGAGGAAAGUGGAAUUCCUAGUGUAGCGGUGAAAUGCGUAGAUAUUAGGAAGAACACCAGUGGCGAAGGCGACUUUCUGGACGAAAACUGACGCUGAGGCGCGAAAGCCAGGGGAGCGAACGGGAUUAGAAACCCUGGUAGUCC